rnacentral:rRNA from 1 species
AUUGAACGCUGGCGGCAGGCCUAACACAUGCAAGUCGAGCGGAGCGGCGGACGGGUGAGUAAUACCUAUGAAUCUGCCUGGUAGUGGGGGAUAACGUCCGGAAACGGGCGCUAAUACCGCAUACUAUCAGAUGAGCCUAGGUCGGAUUAGCUAGUUGGUGGGGUAACGGCCGACAAAGGAGACGAUCCGUAACUGGUCUGAGAGGAUGAUCAGUCACAAUGGAAAUGAGACACGGGACAGAGUCCUACGGGAGGCAGCAGUGGGGAAUAUUGGACAAUGGGCGAAAGCCUGAUGCAGCCAUGCCGCGUGUGUGAAGAAGGUCUUCGGAUUGUAAAGCACUUUAAGUUGGGAGGCGUUACCAACAGAAUAAGCACCGGAUAACUUCGUGCCAGCAGCCGCGGUAUUUC